GCCACCGUAGCUCAGUUGGUAGAGCAAUUGAUUCGUAAUCAAUAGGUCAGCGGUUCGACUCCGCUCGGUGGCU
rnacentral:tRNA from 1 species